AACGCGAAGAACCUUACCUGGUCUUGACAUCCACGGAAGUUUUCAGAGAUGAGAAUGUGCCUUCGGGAACCGUGAGACAGGUGCUGCAUGGCUGUCGUCAGCUCGUGUUGUGAAAUGUUGGGUUAAGUCCCGCAACGAGCGCAACCCUUAUCCUUUGCUGCCAGCGGUCCGGCCGGGAACUCAAAGGAGACUGCCAGUGAUAAACUGGAGGAAGGUGGGGAUGACGUCAAGUCAUCAUGGCCCUUACGACCAGGGCUACACACGUGCUGCAAUGGCGCAUACAAAGAGAAGCGACCUCGCGAGAGCAAGCGGACCUCGUAAAGUGCGUCGUAGUCCGGAUUGGAGUCUGCAACUCGACUCCAUGAAGUCGGAAUCGCUAGUAACCGUGGAUCAGAAUGCCACGGUGAAUACGUUCCCGGGUCUUGUACACACGC
rnacentral:rRNA from 1 species